UUCCAUGCGAUGAAGAGAAUAAAGUACAAGGGCUCUUAAGUUCAGAGAGCAAAGGAUUUGGUGGAAGCUUUGCCUUAAACCCUUGUACGGUCAUCUCGGAGCUUUUGAGUGAAAACCAGAUUGAACCUUGAACCUGGUAAUAAGCUCAUACGUAUAGCACACGUUAUUAUGCUAGAGGUCAAAGGGUUUACUUUGACUUCAUGAGGCUGGAAGUCAUGAGAUUUCCGGUGAAUCUGGGUGGUACCACGAAAUGAUCCUUUCGUCCCUAAU
rnacentral:ncRNA from 1 species